AGUGAACGCUGGCGGUAGGCCUAACACAUGCAAGUCGAACGGCAGCACAGUAAGAGCUUGCUCUUACGGGUGGCGAGUGGCGGACGGGUGAGGAAUACAUCGGAAUCUACUUUUUGGUGGGGGAUAACGUAGGGAAACUUACGCUAAUACCGCAUACGACCUACGGGUGAAAGCAGGGGAUCUUCGGACCUUGCGCGAUUGAAUGAGCCGAUGUCGGAUUAGCUAGUUGGCGGGGUAAAGGCCCACCAAGGCGACGAUCCGUAGCUGGUCUGAGAGGAUGAUCGGCCACACUGGAACUGAGACACGGUCCAGACUCCUACGGGAGGCAGCAGUGGGGAAUAUUGGACAAUGGGCGCAAGCCUGAUCCAGCCAUACCGCGUGGGUGAAGAAGGCCUUCGGGUUGUAAAGCCCUUUUGUUGGGAAAGAAAAGCAGCAGGUUAAUACCCCGCUGUUCUGACGGUACCCAAAGAAUAAGCACCGGCUAACUUCGUG
rnacentral:rRNA from 1 species